AGUGAACGCUGGCGGUAGGCCUAACACAUGCAAGUCGAACGGCAGCACAGUAAGAGCUUGCUCUUACGGGUGGCGAGUGGCGGACGGGUGAGGAAUACAUCGGAAUCUACUUUUUCGUGGGGGAUAACGUAGGGAAACUUACGCUAAUACCGCAUACGACCUACGGGCGAAAGCAGGGGAUCUUCGGACCUUGCGCGAUUGAAUGAGCCGAUGUCGGAUUAGCUAGUUGGCGGGGUAAAGGCCCACCAAGGCGACGAUCCGUAGCUGGUCUGAGAGGAUGAUCAGCCACACUGGAACUGAGACACGGUCCAGACUCCUACGGGAGGCAGCAGUGGGGAAUAAUGGACAAUGGGCGCAAGCCUGAUCCAGCCAUACCGCGUGGGUGAAGAAGGCCUUCGGGUUGUAAAGCCCUUUUGUUGGGAAAGAAAAGCAGCAGGUUAAUACCCCGCUGUUCUGACGGUACCCAAAGAAUAAGCACCGGCUAACUUCGUG
rnacentral:rRNA from 1 species